AUAUUUCGUCUGGGGUGCCUGAAUGCCCUUCUGGUUGGUUACGAUCAAUUAUGAAGCCAUUCGUCAAGGCUGAGAUUACACCCAUCGAACCUGAUACAGUUUGUACUGUCGAAGGAAGAGCGAACCGGAAAACUG
rnacentral:ncRNA from 2 species